UCAGGUCUGAGCUGAGUAAUACUUUCCAGCACACUGGGAUUCUGAAGUAAGGUCUUUUCCUCUUGGUCUUAACUGAAAAGGCUUGGUUACUGCACCUGGACCUGGAAGACUUGUUUUUCUGGGUGAAGAAAUAUUUUCCCUGUGUGAAGAUUUCAUAAUCACCGUCAAGCUGGCCCAUGAGCCCUGCCAUUUAAAGUGGCUCCUCUCUUUUAUCUCUGAUAUACCUGCACCCUGGGAAUGAGGACACUAAUCCAGCUCUUGAGACUCUACAGGAUACCCACUGAAGUCUCUCUGAAUUCUGCAUUGCUAUGAUUCCAUGCUUUUGGAUGACCAGAGCGUGACAUGGACAUUCUUUGAAUUUCAUACCAUGCAGAGUCAUUUUUAUUCCCCUGGGACCUCGACUGAGUUUAGAACAGGAUGAACUUUAUAUUGGUUCAGCAGAUUGUUUACUGUUUCUUCUUCUUCUUCUUCUACUACUUCUUCUUCUUCUUUUUUUU
rnacentral:lncRNA from 1 species